GAAGAGGAAGAGUAAUGUUUUUAUUUGAAGUAACUGUGAAUUGAUAUCAUAGUCUGAUAUCAUUGAGCAGCAGGAUGGAGGAAACAUCUCUGCUGUGUCUGCUCUUUCUGAUCUCACUGCUGAGCUGCACCACAAACCAAGCUCGUCUGACUG